CUGUGAUCUAAAAUAAGCCUUUCUCUUUCUGCAUGUUAGGAUCACCUGAGGAGCCCCUAUCCAUUGAAGUACAAGGUGGAACAAGGUAGCUAACAAGGCAGUGUCACAUCUUCCACUUGCCAGCCGUGUGACCUCAAAAGAGUUCCUUCUGCCUCUGUAAGCCUCCCUGUGGAAUGGGAACAGGACCACAGACCUUGCCAGAGCACCAAGCCCACCCGUAGGGUCGCCAUAUGGCGGCUGUUGUUGUCAUUUUGUUCCAAGUUCCUGGAAUUUGAUCUCUGUCAGUUGCUCUCAUGUGCACCAAAGUAUGCUGCCCAGCACCCGUAGACUGCUCUCAGAAACUUCCAGCAUCAGCAUCCUGCCAGAGAGUAGCAGGAGAGACAGCAGGAGGACCUCUUGUCUUGCACCUUCACCACCAAUGUAAGCCAGGCACAGCAGGGUGGGCGGGCACUUGACAGUGCUUCCGGCUGAGCUCAGGUUGCUGAGUUUCCUCUUCUUAGGGGUGUGUGUAUGUGGCAGACCGAUGAGACCUACUGGAAAUGAAAGGGGACUCUGUGCAUUGCCAGUGAGACUAGACCCUAGACAAGGAGUUUCUUUUUCCAUCGCAAAAAUCCAAACCCAAACAGGAAGCAGUUACACUGAGGGAAAGGGCAGAGGUGACAAUAAUCUGGUUCGACUGUCUGAUGCAGAGAAGUGGAAGUUCACAUGGAGGAAAUGUUUUGUGUUCACAGAAAGAUGGAUGAUUAGAA